UCCCUAGCCCAUAAUUUCUAGGCCCAUACCCCUAACCUAAUUUCUACCCCUAUAUAAUAGUACCUACACCUAAAAUAUAAACACACAAAAAACACACCAAUCAGCCGCAAUUCACGACCUCUAUCUGAAUCUCAUCUUCUUCUUCAUUGAGACACAAGAAAACCCUAGCACACACACAAGAGCAGCAACCGCUGCUCCUCCAAAACAUCAGCGAAACCCCAGCCCUUCAACAGACUUCACCAACCAGCGGUCUCCUCCAGCGAUUUUCAUCUCCAAAACAAAACCUGCAACAACCAACGCCAGCCCGAUCUCCUCUCAACACCACCAUUUCCGGCGAACAUAAACAAAAAAAUGAGCAACGAACACAUAUAGAACACAUCCAAAUUGGCACCCAGCAACAACCAUGAGAUUUGUUCGAAAUUGACCCCAAUAACCAGUAAAAGCAGUCACAAAUGGCUCGUUUUCAUCCCGUACGUUGUCGAGUUUCCGGCGCCGACGAGUCCUUUGUUUCCCGAUGAGUUCUUACCGAACUUUCCCCUUUGUGUUAGAGAGAUUUUCAUAUAUAGAAGGAUCUGUGUAAAUCAAGGUCCAUUUGCGCUUAAAAUCCAGGUAAACAGUCCCAACACUUGCUCUUCCUAUUUUAAAAAUGAGACACUCCUCAUGUAAGUACAGUUGCCUUAUGUUAUUGAACUGAAGUUUAAGGAAACUGUGACACAUUUAUUAUUCUUUGAAUUCAGAAGCAUUCUUCUGCUUUUUUACUAAAAAUGAAAAAGUCAUUUCCAAGAA